GUGUAUGUAGGCCGAGUGGUCUAAGGCGCUGGAUUUAGGCUCCAGUCAUCUCGAUGGCGUGGGUUCGAAUGCCACCGCUGCCA
rnacentral:tRNA from 1 species